AUGCUGGUGCUAUGCUUGUAUAGCCUGCAGAAUGGAGCAGAGUCCUGCUAUGUUGUCCAGGCCGGCCUUGAACUUCUGGCCUCAAGCAAUACUCCCACUAUGGCCUCUCAAAGUGCUGAGAUUGCAUGCGUGAGCCACCAUGCUCAGCCUAGAUCUUCUUUAAAGUUACUUUCCUCAGCAUUUUGUAGUUUUCAGCAUGUAAGUCCCAUACAUUUUUGUUAGACUUAUACUUAUUUCCUUUUUUGGGGAACAAUUUAAAAUGGUAUUGUAUUUUUAAUUUCAGUGUCUAUAUAUUCAUUGCAUUUAUAUAGAAAUACGAUUAAUUUUUGCAUAUUUAUCUUAUAUCUAGCGUAUUUACUGAACUCACUUAUUCUAGGAGGGUUUUUUUUUUUAAAGAUUUCUUAAUGUUUUCUACAUUGACAAUCAUAUUAUAUAUAAACAGGGAUAGUUUUGUUUUUUCCUUUUGAUUUGGAUGUCUUUCAUUUCUUUUUCUUGUCUUAUUGACCUGAGUAGAACUUGCAGCUUGUGUUGUCAUGAAUAAAGAUGGUGAGAGGAGAAAGACAUUCUGGUCUCCUUACCGAUCUUAAGGGGAAAAUAUUCAGUUUUCACCUUUAGUAUGAUGCUAGCUAUAGGCUCUUAUGUGUAUGCUCUUUAUUUUCUUGAGGAAGUUCUCUUCUAUUUUUAUUUUUAUGAGAAUUUUACUUAUUGAGUUCUAAAUAUUAUCAAAUAUUUUUCUGCCUUCAUUGAUAUAAUCCUGUGAUUUUUUCUUCCUCAGUCUGUCACUAUAGUAGAUUACACUGGCUGAUUUUUGAAUGUUGAAUCAUAUUUACAUGCCAGGAAUAAACCCCACUGGGCCAUGUUGUAUAAUUUCUUUUAUAUGAUGCCAAAUUCUCUGUCCUACUAUUUUAUUAAGGAUUUCAGUAUUUAUAUGCAUGAAGGAUAUUGGUGAUAUUAUUUACCAAGCCGUCUUUGUUUGGUUUUGGUAUCAGAGUGAUACCAGCUUCAGACCAAAACCUGACAAGGACACACACAACAAAAACCCUACAGGCCAACAUCUCUGACGAACAUAGAUGCAAAAAUUCUGGAUAAAAUGCUAGCACACUGAAGCCAACAACACAUCAAAUAGAUAAUAUGCCAUGAUCAAAUGAGAUUUAUCCCAGAGACAUAAAGAUGGUUCAACAUAUGCAAAUGAAUAAAUGUACUACAUCACAUCGACAGAAUGAAGGACUAAAACCAUAUGAUCAUCUCAAUAUACAAAGAUAAAGCAUUUGAUAAAAUUCAAAUCCUUACAUGAUAUAAACUCUCAAAUUAGGAACAUAGAAGAAACAUUCCGCAACAUAAUCAAGGCCGUAUAAGGCAAAUGCAUCAUACUAACAUCAUAGCGAAUGGGGAAAAGCUGACAGGCUUUUCUCUAAAAAGUGGAAUUAGACAAGGCUGCCUUUUUUGAGACAAAGUCUUGCUCUGUUGCCCAGGUGAGGAUGCCCACUUUUACCACUCUUACUGAACAUAGCACUGGAAGUCCUAGCCAGAGCAAUCAAAUAAGAGAAAGGAAUAAAAGGCAUCCAGAUUGGAAAAGAAAAAGCCAUUUUUUUUUUUUUUUUUUUUGCAGAUGACAUGAUCUUAUAUAGAGAGAAAUCUAAAGCUUCAACCAAAAAAACCUCCUAGAAUUGAUUAAUGAAUCAGUAAACUUGCAGGAUGAAAAAUCAACAUAUAAAAAUUAAUGGCAUUCCUUUUUGGUGGUCCUUUUUUUUUGGUCUUUUUUGAGGCAGUGUCUCACUUUGUCACCCAGGCUGGAGUGCAGUAGCACGAUCUUGGCUCACUGAAACUUCCACCUCCUGGGUUCAAGCAGUUUUCAUGUCUCAGCCUCCUAAGUAGCUGGGAUUAAAGGCAUGUGUCACCAAGUGCGGUUAAUUUUGUAUUUUUAUAGACAGGUUUCACUGUGUUGGCCAGGCUGGUCUCAAACUCCUGACUUCAGGUGAUCCAUCCACCUCAACCUCCCAAAGUGCCGGAAUUAUAGGCAUGAGCCACGAUGCCCAGCCUUUUGUUAUUUUUGUUUUUCAGUUUAGUCAAUGGUCUGCUGAAUACAGAGUAGUUUAACAGUUAGGGUUGCUAAUUACUCCUCAGCACAGAGAUUCAGAGUCAGCACACAAAUGUCUUAUCCAUGACUGAGAUAAACAGUCCCCCUGAACACAGUCCCAAUUGUGUCAUGUGGGCACCCUUCCCCCAUGUCCAUGGAAAGGGGCACCAGAGGCCAGCCGGGCCACAGCUAUGAAAGGAAGACCUGACUUCAGCUCCUUGCCGUUUCUCCAUCAGGUUCCUCCUCCCUGUGUGCCCAUCAUGUUUACCACUUCUUAUUUCCAGAGGACUUCCUCCUCCAUAGCUACCAUCCCUUCAUUGACUUUUACUGUCUACUUGUUUGCAGGGAGCUUCUCUUUGUGGCAGGAUAGGGUGAUGACCAGGCAUUCAGGCUCCAUCAGACAAUAGAGUCUGGCUCUACCACUCAUUAUUUUUUAAACAACCUUGUGACUGUAACUACCGCUUAUUAGCAUACAUUAUCAUGCAAUUAAUUAACAACCCUUAGGUCAGGCAUGGUGGCUCACACCUCCCAACACUUUGGGAGGCCAAGGCCGGAGGAUUGCUUAAGCCUAGGAGUUAGAGAUCAGCCUGGGCAACAUAGUGAGAUCCCCUUGUGGUGCAUGUCUGUGGUUCUAGCAACUCAGGUGGCUGGUGGGGAGGAUCACUUUAGCCCAGGAGUUUGAGGCUGCAGUGAGCAAUGGUCAUAUUACUAUACUCCAGCCUGGGCAACAGAGCAAGACUCUGCCUCUAAAAAUAAAUAAUAAAUAAUAAUAAUAAUUAAAAAAACAGAGUAAAAUCCUCUUAGAUUCAGUUUUUACAAAGUGUCAUUGGAAGCAUAAAUGUGAACUUGAAGAUUUUUCAGAUAUUUAAUGUUGGAUGGUUGUUUUGCAAGAUUUCCAUGGGUAGAGUUUUGUACUGGAGAUGAGGAAGUUUUUUUCUCCCUCUAUUUUCUAAGUAUUUGGCAGAGAACAGUAUUAAAACAACCUACGGGAUAUGUGUUUACCCCUGAACUAUUCUAUAAAAUUUAACAUAGCUAAAAUAAAUCAAUGGAACAGAUAACAGUUAUUUCUUUGUCUCCUUGCUUACACCCACUUCUCCUUUUCUAAAAGGAAAUUUGUCAUUAGCUGAAUAUAUUCUAAAGUUGUUUCUUUGUACUUUGUUUUGUUUUAAAAGAUAAGCACUAAAGAAAAAUUCUUUGUAUUUCCAUAAAGCUUUUCAUCUUAUAUUUCCACAUACUUUGACAAUGUUUUUUCUUAAGUUCUGUAGCAUGCUUUGUAAAAACAGCUAUAUUAGGUUAUGGUUUACACACAGUAAAACUCACCCAUUUUAGGUGUACCUCAGAUCGGCAAAUAUAUACAAUUGUAUAACUAC
rnacentral:lncRNA from 1 species